CCAAAAAUUAAAUGUACAAUAUAAUAUAUAUUCAAUAUUGAUCAAACAAUUUAAAACGCGUGAUGCCUUCGGCAUAUAAUUUAAAUGCAUCGUAAGCUGACGUCUUUUAGACAUCGUAUGGCCAUCGCGCCAUCAUCGUAAUCCAUCGUGUAGCCUUCGUGAUCCAUCUUUUAGGCUUCGGCUGAGAUAUGAAGCUUAAAUACCGUCUUCGGUUAACCUUUGUAGGUCCAUCUUUUGCUAUCGUAUAUACUUUCGACACCCUCGUAUAG
rnacentral:lncRNA from 1 species